UCCCAGGUGGCUCAGUGGUAAAGAAUCUGCCUGCCAAUGUGAGAGGGCAGGUUCGAUCCCUGGGUCGGGAA